rnacentral:rRNA from 1 species
GUCUCCGGCCAUACCCCCCUGAACGCGCCCGAUCUCGUCUGAUCUCGGAAGCUAAGCAGGGUCGGGCCAGGUUAGUAAUUGGAUGGGAGAGUUGCAGCCUGAAGAUUUCGCAUCCCGGUGGAC